rnacentral:lncRNA from 1 species
UGUACUUUUUUAUUUUUUAUUUUAAGAUAAAUUUUAAAUAUCAUUUCAGUGGUUUUGUAUUUUCUUACUUUAGAACCCUAACGUUUAAAGUAUAUCAAUUUAGUGUCUUAUGGUUUUAUCUUUUUCUUUUCAUCAGCCCCUCUAUUAAUUUUUCGUUAAAUUGUAUACAAAAAACUUUAGAUACACACCUAGGGCGGGUUUGGUUCGAAGUCGGAAUCGAAAUCGGAAUCGGAAUCAAAAUAAGCUGGAAUCGGAAUCGGAAUGACUCAUUACCUAAUUCUGUUUGGUUCAUCACCUGAAUCGGAAUAGGAAUAAAUCAUUUCUAUUGUCGGUGUUUGGUUCAGGUGGAUAUAAAAAAUGUAAUCAAAUUAAUAUACUAACAUUAUCUUUAUAAUAUAUUAAUUUAAAUUCAAAUUAAAAAUUAAAUAUUAAAAAUUUACAU